UAACCAUAGACUGUACAUAUACUGGACAAACGGAUUCCAUUGGCUUCAAUAACACGUUUGUUGUCUAUAAUGGGAGGUGGCCACCACCGCCAUUUUGACCGUGUCACAGGUUCCGUCCAGCCCAGACAAUUCCAUAAAAGGGAAGAGAGGAGGCGCUGAGGGUGUGGCUGUAAGGCUGGGCUCGAGUGACGACACCCAGGCGAACUAGCUACGAGCUAACCUGAAGCUAACCCUGGCUAACCCAAAGCUAAAGCGGAGGUGGGAGCCGAGCUAACGGAUGUAGCCACCUAGCUUCAACCCAACCGGAGCUAACUGGAACACCCAUCGACCUGAACCUUACACGGAGUUUAGGUGGAGGUUUUCUGCGCCUGUUCGUGAGAAGUACCUGUAUUAAAAAAGUUUUAAAUCGAUCUGUUAAAAGGUCACCAUGGCAGCCUGUGUGUCUCCAACAUCAGCUACACAAAGCAGCAAGUCCAUUUGGAUCAUUGGAGACAGCUGAGUGAGGCGUGGUGCCCAGAGAGCUGCAGAGACAACCUUGGCCUCCCUGACGUCUGUGUCUCCUGGUUCGGUUGGGGUGGACCAUCGACAUACAUACAUGUGCCGACACUUUGCGCCCUGUUUUAUAAAAUGUAGUGUUAAAAAUAAAUGUUUUUGCUCAA